ensembl:misc_RNA Metazoa_SRP Metazoan signal recognition particle RNA
GCCGGGCAUGGUGGCGCAUGCCUGUAAUCCCAGCUACUUGGGAGGCUGAGGCAGGAGAAUUGCUUGAGCCCAGGAGGUGGAGGUUGCAGUGAGCCAAGGUUGCAACAUUGCACUCCAGCCUGGGCAACAAGCAUGAAAUUCUGCCUCAA